rnacentral:sRNA from 1 species
CUGCACGGUCCCACCGCCUUCCCUCACCUCUUGCCUUUUCACAUUAGAGCACGUUCUGGUAAAGGCCAAUCCGUUCAUACAGGGGGAAGAAGAGGGAACGUGGCCUCAGAACCUGCAGCAGCCACCACUGCCGGGUCAGCACAAGGAUGGGCAGAAAUCCACUGGGGAUGAGAGGCCCGCCACAGAGCCCCUCUUUAAGGUCCUAGAUACGCCUCUGAGUGAGGGUGAUGAGCCCGCAACGCUGCUGGCCCCGCGGGACCAUGGGCAGAGUGUGCAGAUGGAAGGCUACCUGGGCCGCAAGCAUGACUUGGAGGGGCCCAACAAGAAGGCUUCCAACAGGUCCUGGAACAACCUGUACUGUGUGCUCAGGAACAGUGAGCUAACCUUCUACAAGGAUGCCAAGAACCUGGCCCUGGGGAUGCCCUACCAUGGGGAGGAACCCCUGGCCCUGAGACAUGCCAUCUGUGAGAUUGCUGCCAACUACAAGAAGAAGAAGCACGUCUUUAAGCUGAGGCUGAGUAAUGGCAGCGAGUGGCUCUUCCAUGGCAAGGAUGAGGAGGAGAUGCUGUCCUGGCUGCAGGGCGUGAGCACCGCCAUCAACGAGUCCCAGAGCAUCCGCAUCAAGGCGCAGAGCCUGCCCCUGCCUUCCCUCUCCGGCCCCGACGCCAGCCUCGGCAAGAAGGAGAAGAGAUUCAGCUUCUUCCCCAAAAAGAAGUAGCGGGUGGGGCUGGCGGGCGCGGCGGAGUCGGGACGCGCAGAGACCGGGGCAGCCCAGGCCUUGGCCUCCUCUCGCCGCCGCCCGCCGGUCGAAUCGAGAUGAGUCGAGUCGCGGGCCGGGCCCCCGGGCCCCACGCUGCACUGCAAAAGCUGCCUUCGCCCGCGUGUCCUGGGCCGACGCCCCCUCCAUGCCCUCGCCCGCGCUGGCUCCGCUCCAGGGACAGGGGAUCCCAGCUCCUCUGGCGCCUUUGGGGCCUCCAGGCCUGGGGGCAGGAAACGGUUCUCUGAGGCACACGCCCUCCUCUCCCACCCUCCUCCUGAGCCGAGGGUGCACAGGCCCCUUACCACCAACCAAAAAAAAAAAAAAAAAGAGCUGGAGAAGGCUGAUGGGGUUCCUCAAACGCUGCCCGUUCCUAAAGCAAGUCUUGCUUCAGGUCACCUCCCACCUGGUGGCAGCCAGGGAAAGGGGGAAAGGAAGAAGACACUGGAAAUGCAUGGCCAGCCCGCUAGGGGCAUGAGGAAGGAGCCUUCAGGUGGCCCACAAAGCCCUAGCUCUGGGCCAGGGGCUCUGGGGGGCUGAGGGGACCAGACUGGGUGCAGGGCCUUGGGAGCUGCCAGCCUCCUUCCCACUGGGCUUCCGCAGAACUGGGACUCUCACCUCAGGGGCCACCACAUCCCUCCUCUCUGCUUCUCCCCCCAGAUCAAAGGGUACCCUCCCACGGUUGGCAGGGCCUGGCUGAGUGCCUCCAGCACCCUUUGUGCCACCACAGGCGGUCCCAGGAAGGGCAGCAAGGUCAGACCAUUCCUCAUUGAAAACCGUGGCUAGGGCACAGGGCUCUGAUCUGAAGGAGUGACAGGUAGGUCACAACACUGCCUAAGGCUCUCCCUCUCAAUGCUGGGACCCUCGCCCCACUCCCAGUGGCAGCCAAACCAGCAAUAUCCAACAGACAUAGGCCCCCUACCCGACAGUGUGGGCCCCCAGAUACAAGAUGGAUACCCCC